CUCCUGCCGUGAUUUUCCUUGGCCAUCUGAGUCCACUGGGUCUUUUGUUCUUUUCUACAGAGGGAAGUAGUUCUUAUGAACAAAUGUUGGAUGAACAAGAGCCCCAGGGUGACUUAUCCUCAUCACCACAGAGAUGUGAACCAGGAGCAGAGCAAUCCACAAGUGAAAAUGAGAUGUGUCCCUGUGUCAUGUGUUCCCCAGCAUACAAGCCAGAAGACCGGGAAGCAAGGAUGGGAAACAACCAAACAGGUAAUUAAUAAAUAAGGCUGACCAAGGGUCAUGG
rnacentral:lncRNA from 1 species